GUAGGUGGCAAGCGUUGUUCGGAAUUAUUGGGCGUAAAGCGCGCGCAGGCGGGUUCUUUAAGUCUGAUGUGAAAGCCCACGGGCUCAACCGUGGAGGGUCAUUGGAAACUGGAGAACUUGAGUACAGAAGAGGAAAGCGGAAUUCCACGUGUAGCGGUGAAAUGCGUAGAGAUGUGGAGGAACACCAGUGGCGAAGGCGGCUUUCUGGUCUGUAACUGACGCUGAGGCGCGAAAGCGUGGGGAGCAAACAGGAUUAGAUACCCUGGUAGUCCACGCCGUAAACGAUGAGUGCUAAGUGUUAGGGGGUUUCCGCCCCUUAGUGCUGCAGCUAACGCAUUAAGCACUCCGCCUGGGGAGUACGGCCGCAAGGCUG
rnacentral:rRNA from 1 species